AUUGAACGCUGGCGGCAUGCUUUACACAUGCAAGUCGAACGGCAGCGCGGGCUUCGGCCUGGCGGCGAGUGGCGAACGGGUGAGUAAUACAUCGGAACGUGCCCAGUAGUGGGGGAUAGCUCGGCGAAAGCCGGAUUAAUACCGCAUACGACCUGAGGGUGAAAGCGGGGGAUCUUCGGACCUCGCGCUAUUGGAGCGGCCGAUGGCAGAUUAGCUAGUUGGUGGGGUAAAGGCCUACCAAGGCGACGAUCUGUAGCUGGUCUGAGAGGACGACCAGCCACACUGGGACUGAGACACGGCCCAGACUCCUACGGGAGGCAGCAGUGGGGAAUUUUGGACCAUGGGCGAAAGCCUGAUCCAGCAAUGCCGCGUGUGUGAUGAAGGCCUUCGGGUUGUAAAGCACUUUUGGCGGGAACGAAAAGGACUGUGCCAAUACCACGGUUCGAUGACGGUACCCGCAGAAUAAGCACCGGCUAACUACGUG
rnacentral:rRNA from 1 species